GGGCUCCGGGCGGCGGGCUCCUGGCUGCACCCUCGGGGCCCGCGGCGGCUUCCCGGGCCGGACGGGACGCCUGCUUCUCCGCGGCCCGGCUGGGGAGCUCUGCAACAGAGGGGAAAAGUAGUUUACGGAACACGAAUUAGUUUGAGCGUCGUUUAAAAACUUUAUAAAAGUGUGUCCCGGCGCCAGGCACACGCACAGGACGCGGGGUGCGGAGCAGCGACACUGAAGUUCUGCAACACCGACGCUGCUCUCCUCCCCGCGGACCCCCCGCGUGAGUCACUUGCACCCGUGUCUGCUUGGGUGCAGCUCGUUCGUUCGUUCAUUCAUUCAUUCAUUCAUUCAUUCAAUAAAGGUGGUGCAUGUGGCUCACCUUGUGCGCAGGUGAGCACAGACUUCCCGGAGCCUCCGGUUAAAGUGAGGAAGGAAGCCCACCUGUAAAUGGAAACACACCUAACAGAGCUAGGGGCCAGGGGUGACUGAUCCCACCGGACGCCUGGAGCCAACUGUCGCCAACAGUUCCUAAGUUUUCUUUGGAAACCGAAAGACACUAGUAACUGUUCAACGGCACUACUGAAAUCCCCUUUCCCAAAAGUAAGAGAAGCUGUGACAGAUGAAGAUGUCACCUAUUAUUUUUCUUGGCCCCAUCAGGUACACCUCCAUCCCUGUUCUACAAGGCCUCUUUUUUAUGGAUCCGGGAGACAACAGGGCAAUUCAAAGUCACUAAAAGAACACUUGGAGUUAAGCACAGGAAGCAGAAGCCGCAGGCCAGACCCUCAGCAGCAAGGCCCUCAGCAGCAAGGCCGCCGAAGGCCUCCGAAGCUCUCCGCCGGCCACCGGUUGCUGUGCUUGCCUUCCCCUCCUCACGCGCAAACUUCACCAGGUCUCUAUCACACACAUCUGGCCUCUCUUCCACACAAAAAUAUACCUUCUUUUGAAAAGAGCUCAAAAGAACUGCUGUUCCAGGUUGACUUUUUUUUUUUCUUUACCUAAACCAGAGCGGGUAAAAAUAGUGAACCCGUGGACCCAAAGGGGCCUGAAAGCCACCUCCACAGCAAGGCCUUCAGAGCAACUAUUCUGUGGCUCUUCCGAGAGAUCGUGACUCACAGUCAUUCACCGACUAGAUUAGACACUAGUUGAAGACAGGGCCCACGUUUUCUAUCUUCCUAUAUUGAAUAAAAACUUCUUGGUUGAAUUUGA